CCUUGGGGCAUAGGGUCGGGAGUUCGAACCUUACCUCCUGCAAAUAUUUCUUUUUUUGGAUCUCGUAUAUGCUCGAUAUACGGAUGUAUAUACGGUCAGUACGGUAUGCGUACGGUAUGUAGAGCUUCACACUGUAGCCGAGCCGAGUCGAGUCGAAGGUUAGUGGGCCGAGUUUUUGGACCAAAUUGGUUUGGGCCGGUUCGAAAUGUGGUUGGGUCGGUUUCUUUGGCCCAAAUGGCCAGCCUUUGUGCUUAGCCCAAGUCAUCAUCACUGGGUGACAUUUUAUUUUGUUGGCGUGCUUUUGAGAAUGAUUUGUUUUGGGUGAUGCAUCUCUAUUGUUGCGUAGGAUAGUGCAUGCUUAAAUUUUACCAUGGAGGUUUACCGUGAUGUUAAUUGAGUAACGAAACGCUUUGUGUGAGUGUUUACUGUACUUGUAUGCCUGUACAGGGUGACUAUUAGUGUGAAAAUAGAUUUGUGUACAAUACCACGUGGUGAUUUGGGUGUGUGUUGCUUGAGGCAAUUGUUGUGUUGUAAUUUUGAGAAAUGUGGAUUGCGAAAGAAUGUGGUAUUGCUGAAUUGUGUUGAAAUGGAUGUUUCAUUUGUGAAUUCUUGUUGUGUGGGUCACAUUAGUGAUGAAAUGAUUUACCUGCUAUUGGGAUGUAUUUUUACACAUAGAGCCGUAGCUUUGCGGAUUGCUACAGUUUUGGUAAAAAUGGAGAUUCGAUGGUUAGGUUAGCCUUAUCUCCUAGAAUUCUUGUGGAGCAACUUUUUGCUUGAGUCUAAGUUGAAGAAGAAAAUCUAUGAUGGAGCUAGUGUAGUCAAUCGUGGUAUAGUUGAAGUAGAAUUUGAUGUGGCCAUAUUUGGUGUUGGAUGGUAUUAUGUAUGAUCUACAUAGAACCUUUUUUUUUUUGGCUGAAACUGUCUUGUUUAAUAUCUGGUGGAGGCUUAGUAUCGGAUGCAUUACUCAAAUGAGGGCGAGGACAGGAUGCGAGACGGAGUGAGCCAUUCGUGGUUUAUAUGUUGCGCACUUAAAUUUCGGGACGAAAUUUCUUUAAGGAGGGUAGAUUGUAAUAACCUGUUUUGGCAGCAUUUAGUGGGUUUAAUGUGGAUAAAAGAAAAGUGGAACAUGUUUCCGUGUUUUGAGCAACAAAGGGAAAACAGUGCUUCUGCUUUGACUCUCUCUCUCUCUCACUCAAACUGUCACUCUCUUUCUCGUCCGAAACCCAUUCGAAAACAGAGCACGGUUUCUCCGGUCUCUCUCUCCCACCUCAGGCCACCACAAGACACCAGACCACGUCCCACACCUUCGCCUCGAUAUUUCGCAGCUGCAGGUGGCAGCCUUGCGCUGCAGAACAACCGGAAGCGGCGGCGGGAAGCUCCGCCCGGUUUGAGCUCGUUUGGGUUCCAAGCUUGAUAUCUCAAGCUACCGGUCACCAAUCCUCACCAAACUUCAUCCUCGAGCUCACCUCAACCUCCUGAAACUCCCAGAAGUGUCCAUACACGGCGGCACUGCGCGUGGUGGCAGCUAGAAGCCAGCCCCGAUCAAAAUCGGAAAAAAAACGAGCUAUCGAUCCGGAUAUCUCGAGCUACAGACCAUCAUUUCUUGUGAUUCUUGCGCUGGUGAACUCAGAUUGAAGUUUUGAACAACUUUCAUGAAGGGAUCGAAGCGAGUUGUUGAAGUUUUUACGUCGGAAUUCAAGCUCGCCGGAUUCUGGAAAUUUUCCGGCCACCGAAGCUUUCGAUCAAGAUAUCUCAAGCUGUAGAGCUUCGUUUUGAGUGAUUCUUGAACCUGUGAGUUCGCCUUGAUAUUCUUAACAACUCUCCAGAAGGAAUAGAGGCCUGAAAUUGAAGUUUUUAAGUCGAAAUCAAGCUCGCCGUUUUCUGCAAUUCUCGUCGGUUUCUGGAAAAAUUCCGGCCACCUCGACUGUUUUAGGUGUUUGACGGUUUGAUUUGGCGGACGAUUCGUAUAAUCGUGGUUGUGCUGUUAAGAAGACGCAGCGGGAUUAGAGUACACUAUUCAAACGGUGUAGCGGGUAAUCCUACAGGACAGAAGAAACAGGAAGGCGAUCGAGCUGUGUAGAGUAGCUGCAUGUGAUACUCUGAAUUUCUAUUGAGAGGUUUGUUAUGCUCAUUUAGAGCUUUACAAUCUUACUUGUAUGAGUGAGUUGUAAUAAUUAACUCGAGGUUUUCGAGAUUUGAAUUUUGAGUGGCUUGUGGUGUGGUUGUUCAGAGAAAAAAGUCAGAAAGUUUAUUUGUAAUAGUUAUUAUUCACGUUUCGGAUUUGAAUUGGUUAUUCAAAAUUCGGGACGUGACACUAGAACAGGAUAUUGACUCCAUUCAACGGAAAGUAUGGUCGUUGCAAGAAGAGUUGAAUAGGCUGACUGUCGGACUCUAUCUUCUUCGUUAUCGAGUGGAGAGAUCAGAACUAAUUAGAUCUGGAACAAUCCUACCAUAUUCGAUCAGAUCCGGGAUGCCUCGACUUAGUUUAGAUUGAGGCAGCUCCUAAUCAAACCAGGAUUCCUAGGUGGAGCCCAUACAGGAGAAGUGAAGCGCAUAAUUCUCAAGGGAGACCAAAUUCAAGAGUAAGCUCGAACCGCCCCACAAGAAAUCUAGGUGGUUAGCGACAACUGCGACCCUACUGCCUAUUCCAUGAAGCUUGGGGACACACCACCGAAAAUUGUUCUUUCGCAGGGCGAGAUUCGAGCGGACGUGUCCGAGACUAUGGAAGGAGAGAAAAAUGGCCCAAAAGAGACAUCAACUUCAUCAGUUUGGUACUUUGGGCACUAAG